UCGAGAAUCUUCCGCAAUGGGCGAAAGCCUGACGGAGCGAUGCCGCGUGAGGGAUGAAGGCCUUCGGGUUGUAAACCUCUGUCGCCCGGGACGAAAUAAAUGACGGUACCGGGAGAGGAAGCUACGGCUAACUACGUGCCAGCAGCCGCGGUAAUACGUAGGUAGCGAGCGUUAUUCGGAUUCACUGGGCGUAAAGGGUCCGCAGGAGGCCUGUCAAGUCGGAUGUGAAAGCCCAAGGCUCAACCUUGGAACGUCAUCCGAAACUGCCGGGCUAGAGUGCAUGAGGGGUAGACGGAAUUCCUGGUGUAGCGGUGGAAUGCGUAGAUAUCAGGAGGAACACCGAUGGCGAAGGCGGUCUACUGGCAUGCAACUGACUCUCAGGGACGAAAGCGUGGGGAGCAAACA
rnacentral:rRNA from 1 species